rnacentral:lncRNA from 1 species
UGAUUAAGACUGGGGUGGCAGGUAUUAGGGGUAAUAUUCAUUUAGCCUUUUGAGUUUUCUGGGCAGACUUGGUGACUUUGCCAACUCAAGCAGCCUUCUUGUCCACACUUUGAUGACACCCACAGCAACUGUCUGCCUCAUGUCACGAACAGCAGAAUGACCAAGUGGAGGGUAGUCAGAGAAGCUCUCAACACACAUGGGCUUG